UGGGGAAUUUUGGACAAUGGGCGAAAGCCUGAUCCAGCAAUGCCGCGUGUGUGAAGAAGGCCUUCGGGUUGUAAAGCACUUUUGUCCGGAAAGAAAUCCUUGGCUCUAAUACAGUCGGGGGAUGACGGUACCGGAAGAAUAAGCACCGGCUAACUACGUGCCAGCAGCCGCGGUAAUACGUAGGGUGCAAGCGUUAAUCGGAAUUACUGGGCGUAAAGCAUGCGCAGGCGGUUUGCUAAGACCGAUGUGAAAUCCCCGGGCUCAACCUGGGAACUGCAUUGGUGACUGGCAGGCUAGAGUAUGGCAGAGGGGGGUAGAAUUCCACGUGUAGCAGUGAAAUGCGUAGAGAUGUGGAGGAAUACCGAUGGCGAAGGCAGCCCCCUGGGCAAUACUGACGCUCAUGCACGAAAGCGUGGGGAGCAAACAGGAUUAGAUACCCUGGUAGUCCACGCCCUAAAACGAUGUCAACUAGUUGUUGGGGAUUCAUUUCUUAGUAACGUAGCUAACGCGUGAAGUUGACCGCCUGGGGAGUACGGUCGCAAGAUUAAAACUCAAAGGAAUUGACGGGGUCAUA
rnacentral:rRNA from 1 species